rnacentral:rRNA from 1 species
AGGACGAACGCUGGCGGCGUGCCUAAUACAUGCAAGUCGAACGGUCUUUCUAUGGAAGCUUGCUUCCACUGAGAAGAUAGUGGCGAACGGGUGAGUAACACGUGGGUAACCUGCCCAUAAGAGGGGGAUAACAUCCGGAAACGGGUGCUAAUACCGCAUAGUUUUCUUGAUCGCAUGAUCGGGAAAGGAAAGACGGCCUUUGUGCUGUCGCUUAUGGAUGGACCCGCGGCGUAUUAGUUAGUUGGUGAGGUAAUGGCUCACCAAGACGAUGAUACGUAGCCGACCUGAGAGGGUGAUCGGCCACAUUGGGACUGAGACACGGCCCAAACUCCUACGGGAGGCAGCAGUAGGGAAUCUUCCGCAAUGGACGAAAGUCUGACGGAGCAACGCCGCGUGAGUGAAGAAAAGGUUUUCGGAUCGUAAAACUCUGUUGUCAGAGAAGAACAAGUUGGAGAGUAACUGCUCCAGCCUUGACGGUAUCUGACCAGAAAGCCACGGCUAACUACGUGCCAGCAGCCGC